GACGGACCAUCCAAACGUUAUUCGGAAUUACUGGGCUUAAAGGGCGCGUAGGCGGUGCGUUAAGUCGGCGGUGAAAUACUUCGGCUCAACCGGAGAAUUGCCGCUGAAACUGGCGUGCUCGAGGAAGGUAGAGGUGCGUGGAACUUCCGGUGGAGCGGUGAAAUGCGUUGAUAUCGGAAGGAACACCUGUGGCGAAAGCGAUGCACUGGACCUUUUCUGACGCUGAGGCGCGAAAGCCAGGGGAGCGAACGGG
rnacentral:rRNA from 1 species